GUUUUUAUACGCCCGUCAAAAUUUUGACGGGACGUAUUAUGGUAUACAAAUGUCCGGUGUCCGUCCGUCUGUCCGUCUGUCCGUCUGUCCGUCUGUCCGUCUGUCCGUCUGUCCGGCGUAAACAUGUCGCACCGUAACUUGAGAACGACUUAUCCAAAUUUCAUGAAACUUAAUAUAGUUGUUUCUUAUGAUGGUCAAAUGAUCUGUAUACUUUUUGGUGAAAAUAAGAUUUAAACUUUUUGAGUUACGGCACUUUGUAACUAAAACAGGGGUGUGUUUUUUUUCACAUGUCGCACCGUAUCUCAAAAACGUUUCUUGAUUAUUGCUUAAAACUUUACACACUUCUUAGUUAUAUUAAUCUUAAUAUCUGUAUACUUUUUGGUGAUGAUUCAAAAUUUCAUUUUUGAGUUUUUGAGUAUUUUGUAAAAAAGGGGGAGGGUUUUUUUACAUGUCGCACCGUAUCUCAAAAACGAUUUAUGAUUAUUGCUUAAAACUUUACACACUUCUUUGUUAUAUUAAUCUAAAGAUCUGUAUACUUUUGGUGAUGAUUCAAAAUUUCAUUUUUGAGUUGUUGAGUAUUUUGUAAAAAAGGGGGAGGGUUUUUUUACAUGUCGUGCCGUAUCUCAAAAACAAUUUAUGAUUAUUGCUUGAAACUGUACACACUUCUUUAUUAUACUAAUUUAAAGAUCUGUAUACUUUUUGGUUUGAUUCAAAAUUUUAUUUUAGUGAUAUUUGUAAAAAAAAAAAAAAAAACCAGGGUGGGGGUUUCACAUGUCCCGCCGUGUCUCAAAAACAAUAAAUGGUUAUUGCUUAAAACUUCCUCAGAAACUAUUUAUGAUUAUUGCAUAAAACUUCCACACAAGACGUCGGGCGUAUCAUGCGCUCAUGGCGCAGCUGUUUAUUU
rnacentral:lncRNA from 1 species